rnacentral:rRNA from 1 species
AUACGGGGGAUCCGAGCGUUAUCCGGAUUUAUUGGGUUUAAAGGGUGCGCAGGCGGCCAUUUAAGUCAGCGGUUAAAUCGUGGGGCUCAACCCCACUCUGCCGUUGAUACUGGGUGGCUUGAUUGCGGUCGAGGUUGGCGGAAUUCGUUGUGUAGCGGUGAAAUGCAUAGAUAUGACGAAGAACACCGAUUGCGUAGGCAGCUGACCAGACCGCAAAUGACGCUCAUGCACGAAAGUGCGGGGAUCGAACAGGAUUAGAUACCCUGGUAGUCCGCACAGUAAACGAUGAAUACUUGUUUUCGGCGAUAUAAUGUCGGAGGCAAAGCGAAAGCGAUAAGUAUUCCACCUGGGGAGUACGUCGGCAACGAUGAAACUCAAAUGAAUUGGCGGGG